GUGCAAUUGAUGGAAACUUUUAAUGUCUGAUUCAGUUUGAUGUUUUCAAAGGAACCACUGAUGCAC